UGGGGAAUAUUGGACAAUGGGCGCAAGCCUGAUCCAGCCAUACCGCGUGCAGGAUGACGGUCCUAUGGAUUGUAAACUGCUUUUUGUACAGGAAGAAACAGUUCUACGUGUAGAACCUUGACGGUACUGUAAGAAUAAGGAUCGGCUAACUCCGUGCCAGCAGCCGCGGUAAUACGGAGGAUCCAAGCGUUAUCCGGAAUCAUUGGGUUUAAAGGGUCCGUAGGCGGUUAGAUAAGUCAGUGGUGAAAGCCCAUCGCUCAACGGUGGAACGGCCAUUGAUACUGUCUGACUUGAAUUAUUAGGAAGUAACUAGAAUAUGUAGUGUAGCGGUGAAAUGCUUAGAGAUUACAUGGAAUACCAAUUGCGAAGGCAGGUUACUACUAAUGGAUUGACGCUGAUGGACGAAAGCGUGGGUAGCGAACAGGAUUAGAUACCCAUGUAGUCCCUGAGCGGGCUGGCAAGGCGCAU
rnacentral:rRNA from 1 species